rnacentral:rRNA from 1 species
UACGUAGGGUGCGAGCGUUAAUCGGAAUUACUGGGCGUAAAGCGUGCGCAGGCGGUUCUCCAAGUCCGUUGUGAAAGCCCCGGGCUCAACCUGGGAAUGGCAGUGGAAACUAGGGGACUGGAAUCUGGCAGAGGGGGGUGGAAUGCCGCGUGUAGCAGUGAAAUGCGUAGAGAUGCGGCGGAAUACCGAUGGCGAAGGCAGCCCCCUGGGCUGAGAUUGACGCUCAGGCACGAAAGCGUGGGGAGCAAACAGG